rnacentral:rRNA from 1 species
UACGGAGGGAGCUAGCGUUGUUCGGAAUUACUGGGCGUAAAGCGCGCGUAGGCGGCUUUGUAAGUUAGAGGUGAAAGCCCGGGGCUCAACCCCGGAAUUGCCUUUAAGACUGCAUCGCUUGAAUCCGGGAGAGGUGAGUGGAAUUCCGAGUGUAGAGGUGAAAUUCGUAGAUAUUCGGAAGAACACCAGUGGCGAAGGCGGCUCACUGGACCGGCAUUGACG